rnacentral:tRNA from 1 species
AAAUAUGAAGCAAAUAUUGCGUUUAAUUUCGACUUAAAAAUUAGAGGUUAAAAUCUCCUUAUUUU